rnacentral:rRNA from 1 species
AUUGAACGCUGGCGGCAUGCCUUACACAUGCGAGUCGAACGGUAACAGGUCUUCGGAUGCUGACGAGUGGCGAACGGGUGAGUAAUACAUCGGAACGUGCCUAGUAGUGGGGGAUAACUACUCGAAAGAGUGGCUAAUACCGCAUGAGAUCUACGGAGGAAAGCAGGGGAUCGCAAGACCUUGUGCUACUAGAGCGGCCGAUGGCAGAUUAGGUAGUUGGUGGGAUAAAAGCUUACCAAGCCGACGAUCUGUAGCUGGUCUGCGAGGACGAUCAGCCACACUGGGACUGAGACACGGCCCAGACUCCUACGGGAGGCAGCAGUGGGGAAUUUUGGACAAUGGGCGAAAGCCUGAUCCAGCAAUGCCGCGUGCAGGAUGAAGGCCUUCGGGUUGUAAACUGCUUUUGUACGGAACGAAAAGCCCCGGGUUAAUACCCUGGGGUCAUGACGGUACCGUAAGAAUAAGCACCGGCUAACUACGUGCCAGCCGCCGCGGUAA